rnacentral:rRNA from 2 species
AGACCGAUAGCGAACAAGUAGAGUGAUCGAAAGAUGAAAAGCACUUUGAAAAGAGAGUUAAAAAGCACGUGAAAUUGUUGAAAGGGAAGCGCUUGCGACCAGACUCGCUCGCGGGGUUCAGCCGGCAUUCGUGCCGGUGUAUUUCCCCGCGGGCGGGCCAGCGUCGGUUUGGGCGGUCGGUCAAAGGCCCUCGGAAGGUAACGCCCCUAGGGGCGUCUUAUAGCCGAGGGUGCAAUGCGACCUGCCUAGACCGAGGAACGCGCUUCGGCUCGGACGCUGGCAUAAUGGUCGUAAGCGACCCGUCUUGAAACACGGACCAAG